GAGGGUGUAGCUCAGUGGUAGAGCGCAUGCUUAGCAUGCACGAGGCUCUGGGUUCAAUCCCCAGUACCUCCU
rnacentral:tRNA from 1 species